rnacentral:lncRNA from 1 species
CUAUUUCUGCAGACUGCUUCUGUAUGUCUUUAUUCUCUUCCUCUCUAAAUUUUCCUCUAUAUUACUAAGGCUUUAUUCCCAAAGCAGUCUACUAUAUUUUAUUCAAUUUCACAAGCAACCAAGAGAAAAAAUCUUAGGAAACAAGUUCCCACAAUUUGCUUUCCAAGUGCAUAUUAUAAUACAAGAUUCAUUACGUAAUGUGAGAUGCUUAGUGCUAUUAGUGGUUUGUCCACAUCUUUCAAAUACGUUGUUAUGUAUGGAUUUAAUUACUUCAGUUCAGAGCUCCUUUGGGAGAAAUCAUGAUACAGUUUAAGGCACAAUUUAGCCUUCACGUUAUUUGCAGCGCUUGCUUGAAUUAUCAUUUGUUAUGGUGUGAUAAUUCUCAUGUUAUGUUGGUAAGAGAAUUUAUGCAUAAUUUCACGUUUGAUUUGAAUGUGGAGUAGCAAGCAUCUCAUUGAGUAUAAUUCGUUAUACUCAUCCCUCUCUAUUUACAAUUUUUAGGUAGAAAUUAGUAUGCUGGACGGCAGUGGAUGGAAGCAUAUUGGACCAAUGGAUCUACAUCAUGAAGUACUUUAAUUUUUAGAAACACUAGAAUAUUUAUUAACAGUUGAUUAUUAUUAUUUUUAAAUUUAGACUCAAUUGUGAGUCACGUCAUAACUUUCAAUUAGUCCUAUUUUUAUUAUUUGUUAGAACUACUUUAAUUAAUGUUUGAUAAAAGAUAUGAUUCCAAAUUGUUCCGCAUAUGUUAUUUAAUUUAAUUUACCUUUUGUUAAUGUUGUUCAAUUUUACUGAAUUUCUUGUUAUUUUUAAAUUUAUUUGCUUCAAGCACUUUAUUAAUCAAUUCACGUUUGGUAACGUUCCGGGUUGCUAGAGAAUUCGGGGCGUUACAACUUUCUCAACUGAACUUUAGAGGCUGCUGAAGAUUGAAAGACGUUGGACUACUAGCACAAGAAGAGUACAAGAAUUGGUUAUUCUUGGUAAUCCACUUAGAAGAGACAAUUGUUGAAGAUUGGGAACUAAUAAUUUCAGCAAGAUCUUGGAGGUUACAUAAAGUAGAUUAGGAAGACUAAUGGAGUUGACUAGUCAUCAUCUAAUUGUAAAUCCAUAUUGUUUAUGGUGGAGGUAACUGGUUUGGUCUAGGAGUUAUUAGCUAGUUGGGUUUCUCCAUUAACAUAUCCGAUGUUAUUUACUACUUUCGUAUCACAAACUGUAACAAUUCAAAUUAGGAUAAUGAGACUACUUUAUUAAUCAUCUAGAAAUAAUUAAAAAA